CCUACGGGAGGCAGCAGUGGGGAAUAUUGCACAAUGGGGGAAACCCUGAUGCAGCGACGCCGCGUGAGUGAAGAAGUAAUUCGUUAUGUAAAGCUCUAUCAGCAGGGAAGAAAAUGACGGUACCUGAGUAAGAAGCACCGGCUAACUACGUGCCAGCAGCCGAGGUAAUACGUAGGGGGCAAGCGUUAUCCGGAUUUACUGGGUGGAAAGGGAGCGUAGACGGCAGUGCAAGUCUUGAGUGAAAGGCGGGGGCUCAACCCCCGGACUGCUCUGGAAACUGUACGGCUGGAGUGCAGGAGAGGUAAGUGGAAUUCCUAGUGUAGCGGUGAAAUGCGUAGAUAUUAGGAGGAACACCAGUGGCGAAGGCGGCUUACUGGACUGUAACUGACGUUGAGGCUCGAAAGCGUGGGGAGCAAACAGGAUUAGAUACCCCUGUAGUC
rnacentral:rRNA from 1 species